rnacentral:rRNA from 1 species
CCUACGGGGUGCAGCAGUCGAGAAUCAUUCACAAUGGGGGAAACCCUGAUGGUGCGACGCCGCGUGGGGGAAUGAAGUUCUUCGGAUUGUAAACCCCUGUCAUGUGGGAGCAAAUUAAAAAGAUCGUACCACAAGAGGAAGAGACGGCUAACUCUGUGCCAGCAGCCGCGGUAAUACAGAGGUCUCAAGCGUUGUUCGGAAUCACUGGGCGUAAAGCGUGCGUAGGCUGUUUCGUAAGUCGUGUGUGAAAGGCGCGGGCUCAACCCGCGGACGGCACAUGAUACUGCGAGACUAGAGUAAUGGAGGGGGAACCGGAAUUCUCGGUGUAGCAGUGAAAUGCGUAGAUAUCGAGAGGAACACUCGUGGCGAAGGCGGGUUACUGGACAUUAACUGACGCUGAGGCACGAAGGCCAGGGGAGCGAAAGGGAUUAGAUACCCCAGUAGUC